rfam:Schistosoma mattheei strain Denwood, Zambia genome assembly, scaffold: SMTD_scaffold0014824
AUCUAGCUGAUGAGUUCCAAAUAGGACGAGACAUGCGUCUUAGAU